rnacentral:rRNA from 1 species
CCUACGGGAGGCAGCAGUGAGGAAUAUUGGUCAAUGGGCGGGAGCCUGAACCAGCCAAGUCGCGUGAGGGAAGACGGUCCUAUGGAUUGUAAACCUCUUUAGGCGGGGAGCAAUGCCGGGCACGUGUGCCCGGAGGGAGAGUACCCGCAGAAUAAGCAUCGGCUAACUCCGUGCCAGCAGCCGCGGUCAUACGGAGGAUGCGAGCGUUAUCCGGAUUUAUUGGGUUUAAAGGGUGCGUAGGCGGAUUUUUAAGUCAGCGGUAAAAUGUCCGGGCUCAACCCGGGCCGGCCGUUGAAACUGGGGAGCUUGAGUGGGCGAGAAGUAUGCGGAAUGAGUGGUGUAGCGGUGAAAUGAAUAGAUAUCACGCAGAACUCCGAUUGCGAAGGCAGCAUACCGGCGCCCGACUGACGCUGAGGCACGAAAGCGUGGGGAUCGAACAGGAUUAGAUACCCGGGUAGUC